CCAUAAGGCGCCCUAGGGCCUACCGGGACUGGGGGCUGCCCGGGGCGGGGCGCGCUGUCCGGCCCGGGCCCACUGGCGGGGGGAGGGGUGACCCGGGGGUGGGGCCGUGGGCCAGGCCCCGUUAGCGGCGGGAAGGAAAGUUUCCAACUCAGCGGGAUGGAAGGGGCCCCGGGCCGUGAAGUUACCUGCGGGUCCCGGACGGGAAGAAGGCACCAGUGGAUCCUGAGCCCGGAGCCGCCUCAGCUGCUUUGUCUCUGCGCCGCGCCCGUCCCGACUGGAGAGGAGGAAAUGGGCUCUUCCGGGCACCUCCCCCUACGGCCUAGCCGGCUCUUCCGGGCACCUCCCCCUACAGCUCCGCCGGCUCUUCCCGGGGCCGCCCGCCCUGCGCAGUAGAAUCCCAAAUGUGCUGGGCAUUUGAUUGUCAUCUUUACCCUGAAGAAUUUACAGUAAAAAAAAAAAAAGAGAGACCAUAUAGUAGGAAACAGGUACAACAUACAGUUAAAGAAGUCGGGUGCAUGGUAAGUGCCCAUUAGUUGAACAUUUGAUCUUUUAUUUAUAG
rnacentral:lncRNA from 1 species